rnacentral:snRNA from 1 species
AUGGCCGACGCGGGUCAAAGUGUAGUAACUGUUAUUAUCAGCUUAAUAUCUGAUACGGGUUGUAUUUGGACGCAAGAUAUUAAACUCAUUUUUGCAAGUUGGCGAAGUGCUUGAAGCCUGCUUCACCUCUGCCGCGGGUCGGCCCGGUAUUGCACCAUCUCCGGGAUUCUUGACCUACGGACA